rnacentral:piRNA from 1 species
UGCAGAUGUUCGUGCACUUGAUAGCCC